CAGUAGCCGCGGUAACACGUAGGGUGCAAGCGUUAAUCGGAAUUACUGGGCGUAAAGCGUGCGCAGGCGGUUUGUUAAGACAGAUGUGAAAUCCCCGGGCUCAACCUGGGAACUGCAUUUGUGACUGGCAAGCUAGAGUCUGGCAGAGGGGGGUGGAAUUCCGCGUGUAGCAGUGAAAUGCGUAGAUAUGCGGAGGAACACCGAUGGCGAAGGCAGCCCCCUGGGCCAACACUGACGCUCAUGCACGAAAGCGUGGGGAGCAAACAGGAUUAGAGACCCCCGUAGUCCCUGUCUCUUAUAC
rnacentral:rRNA from 1 species